GUGCAGCAGGCGCGAAACCUCCGCAAUGCUCGAAAGAGCGACGGGGGACUCCAAGUGCCUACGCUUUGCGUAGGCUUUUCCCAAGCCUAAAAAGCUUGGGGAAUAAGGGCUGGGUAAGACGGGUGCCAGCCGCCGCGGUAAUACCCGCAGCCCGAGUGGUGGCCGCUUUUAUUGGGCCUAAAGCGUCCGUAGCCGGUCUGGUAAAUGCCUGGGUAAAAUCGUCUGGCUCAACCAGACGAAUUCCGGGUAGACUGCCAGACUAGGGACCGGAGGAAGGAGAGGGUACUCCGGGGGUAGGGGUGAAAUCCUGUAAUCCUCGGAGGACCACCGGUGGCGAAGGCGCUCUCCUAGGACGGUCCGACGGUGAGGGACGAAAGCCAGGGGAGCAAACCGGAUUAGAUACCCCUGUAGU
rnacentral:rRNA from 1 species